rnacentral:rRNA from 1 species
CGAACGCUGGCGGCAUGGUUAAAACAUGCAAGUCGAACGCGAAAGUACCUUCGGGUGCGAGUAGAGUGGCGAAAGGGCGAGGAAUAUGUUUCUACGUACCCCCAAGGGCAGGGAUAGCAUCGGGAAACCGGUGCUUCUGGAAACGGGAGGUAAUACUUUAUGUGCUCUACGGAGGAAAGGUUUACCGCCUUGGGAGCGGCGAUUAUCCUAUCAGGUAGUUGGUGAGGUAAAGGCUCACCAAGCCGAAGACGGGUAGCGGGUGUGAGAGCAUGACCCGCCGCAUCGGGACCGAGACACUGCCCGGACUCCUACGGGAGGCUGCAGUAACGAAUCUUCCGCAAUGGGCGAAAGCCUGACGGAGCAAUGCGCGUGUAGGAUUAAGCAUCUUCGAUGUGUAAACUACUGUCAAUGACUAGAAACAACGAUCAGUCAUAAAGGAAGGACCGGCUAAUUCAGUGCCAGCAGCCGCGGUAAUACUGAAGGUCCAAGCGUUAAUCGGAAUCACUGGGCUUAAAGCGUACGCAGGCGGAUUUGUAGGUAUUUUGUGAAAUCCCACGGCUCAACCGUGGAACUGCAGAGUAAACCACAAAUCUUGAGACAAGUAGGGGUCAGUGGAACCAUGAGUGGAGCGGUGAAAUGCAUAGAUAUUCAUGGGAACGCCAAUGGCGAAGGCAACUGACUGGGCUUGUUCUGACGCUCAGGUACGAAAGCGUGGGUAGCGAACGGGAUUAGAUACCCCGGUAGUCCACGCCGUAAACGAUGCACACUAGGUCGCGGAGCCUCUCAUGGUCUCGCUGGCCGAAGCGAAAGUGUUAAGUGCACCGCCUGGGGAGUACGGUCGCAAGGCUAAAACUCAAAGGAAUUGACGGGGGCUCACACAAGCGGUGGAGCAUGUGGCUUAAUUCGAAGCAACGCGAAGAACCUUAUCCUGGGUUUGACAUGUAUGGAUUAACUCCGUGAAAGCGGGAGCCACGCCUUCGGGUGGAACAUACACAGGUGCUGUAUGGCUGUCGUCAGCUCGUGCUGUGAAGUGUCGGGUUAAGGCCCUUAACGAGCGAAACCCCUGCCGCUAGUUGCCAACAGAUAAUGCUGGGGACUCUAGCGGGACUGCCGGCGUCAAACCGGAGGAAGGUGGGGAUGACGUCAAGUCCUCAUGGCCUUUAUGCCCAGGGCUGCACACGUGCUACAAUGGCGCCAAUAAAGCGAAGCAAUACCGCAAGGUGGAGCAAAUCGCAAAAAAGGCGCCCCAGUUCGGAUUGGAGUCUGCAACUCGACUCCAUGAAGGUGGAAUCGCUAGUAAUCGCGUAUCAUCAAUGACGCGGUGAUAAGUUCCUGAGCCUUGUACACACCGCCCGUCACGUCAUGGAAGCCGGAGUUACCU